rnacentral:rRNA from 1 species
GGGCGCAGGYNCUGAACCRRCCMAGUAGCGUGAAGGAUGACUGCCCUAUGGGUUGUAAACUUCUUUUAUAUGGGAAUAAAGUUUUCCACGUGUGGAAUUUUGUAUGUACCAUAUGAAUAAGGAUCGGCUAACUCCGUGCCAGCAGCCGCGGUAAUACGGAGGAUCCGAGCGUUAUCCGGAUUUAUUGGGUUUAAAGGGAGCGUAGGUGGACAGUUAAKUYAGUUGUGAAAGUUUGCGGCUCAACCGUAAAAUUGCAGUUGAUACUGGCUGUCUUGAGUACAGUAGAGGUGGGCGGAAUUCGUGGUGUAGNCGGUGAAAUGCUUAGAUAUCACGAAGAACUCC